UUGCCCCCUAGAAGCUACAGCAGCACUUCUGGACAGAAUGAAAGGAAACGCUUCAGAACAAUCAGGUUUCAGAGAAAGCAGAGGAUUGGGUUGGAAUCAGAUCGGACCUAAACAACUACUUUAAUGCAGCCUGACCGUGGACGGACUGGCAUGGACCCACCCAGACACCAAACAAACAGCUUCACGUGGUUUUUUUCCUGCAGCAGAUAAAAGAAGCCGCCGGAGUUCAAACGUGGGGCCGGCCUCUGACAGCAGGAGCACAAAAAAGGUGACGUUUGGACUUCCGGACUUGACUGGACUUGUGUUAAAGCGAGGGCUGCUCGGCGAACAGAGCUGCUGUCGUUGGAGUUCUAACAGAAAUAAAUAAAUGUGGUCAUUUACUCAGUUGAGGCUAAUGAAGCAUCAUAAUUUUUGCAUGUUCUUUGUUAUUUUCUGACUACUAAUGGACUGAUACAAAUGAAGGAAUCACAUUGGCUUAAAGCUGAAAAAGAAGAAGCUCAGAUUCCUGCUUGAUAACUGGAUCUUGCUGCUGCUGUGGUUAUCUCGAUGUUUCACUUGAGUUUU